rnacentral:rRNA from 1 species
AGUGAACGCUGGCGGUAGGCCUAACACGUGCAAGUCGAACGGCAGCACAGUAAGAGCUUGCUCUUACGGGUGGCGAGUGGCGGACGGGUGAGGAAUACAUCGGAAUCUACUUUUUCGUAGGGGAUAACGUAGGGAAACUUACGCUAAUACCGCAUACGACCUACGGGUGAAAGCAGGGGAUCUUCGGACCUUGCGCGAUUGAAUGAGCCGAUGUCGGAUUAGCUAGUUGGCGGGGUAAAGGCCCACCAAGGCGACGAUCCGUAGCUGGUCUGAGAGGAUGAUCAGCCACACUGGAACUGAGACACGGUCCAGACUCCUACGGGAGGCAGCAGUGGGGAAUAUUGGACAAUGGGCGCAAGCCUGAUCCAGCCAUACCGCGUGGGUGAAGAAGGCCUUCGGGUUGUAAAGCCCUUUUGUUGGGAAAGAAAAGCAGCAGGUUAAUACCCCGCUGUCCUGACGGUACCCAAAGAAUAAGCACCGGCUAACUUCGUG